UACAUGUGGUGCAAGCGUUGUUCGGAAUCAUUGGGCGUAAAGCGCGUGUAGGCGGCUUGGCAAGUCGGUUGUGAAAGCCCGGGGCCCAACCCCGGAAUUGCAUCUGAAACUGCCUCGCUAGAGUCCCGGAGAGGAAGGCAGAAUUCCCGGUGUAGGGGUGAAAUCCGUAGAUAUCGGGAGGAAUACCAGCGGCGAAGGCGGCCUUCUGGACGGUGACUGACGCUGAGACGCGAAAGCGUGGGGAGCAAACAGG
rnacentral:rRNA from 1 species